UGCUUUACACAUGCAAGUCGAACGGCAGCACGGGGGCAACCCUGGUGGCGAGUGGCGAACGGGUGAGUAAUAUAUCGGAACAUGUCCGGAAGUGGGGGAUAACGUACCGAAAGGUACGCUAAUACCGCAUAUGCCCUGAGGGGGAAAGGGGGGGAUCGCAAGACCUCUCGCUUUCGGAGUGGCCGAUAUCGGAUUAGCUAGUUGGUGAGGUAAAGGCUCACCAAGGCGACGAUCCGUAGCUGGUCUGAGAGGACGACCAGCCACACUGGAACUGAGACACGGUCCAGACUCCUACGGGAGGCAGCAGUGGGGAAUUUUGGACAAUGGGCGAAAGCCUGAUCCAGCCAUGCCGCGUGAGUGAAGAAGGCCUUCGGGUUGUAAAGCUCUUUCAGCCGGAAAGAAAUUGCUUCUAUUAAUACUAGGAGUAGAUGACGGUACCGGAAGAAGAAGCACCGGCUAACUACGUGCCAGCAGCCGCGGUAAUACGUAGGGUGCGAGCGUUAAUCGGAAUUACUGGGCGUAAAGCGUGCGCAGGCGGUUUGGUAAGACAGACGUGAAAUCCCCGGGCUUAACCUGGGAACUGCGUUUGUGACUGUCAGACUAGAGUGUAGCA
rnacentral:rRNA from 1 species